rnacentral:ncRNA from 1 species
GUCUAAGUACAUACCUUAAAACGGUGAAACCGCGAAUGGCUCAUUGAAUCAGCUAUGGUUCCUUAGAUCGUAAAUACUACAUGGAUAACUGUAGUAAUUCUAGAGCUAAUACAUGCCUUGAAUCCCUGACCCGCAAGAGAACGGGUGUAUUUAUUAGAACAGAACCAAUCGGGUGUAGGAUUUCUUAGUUGUCUCCUUUAGGGUUGGCUUAAACUGGCUAAACUUUUCGUUCAGCUGUGUUAAAUUUAUCUUUCCUAUCUUUUUCUAUUGACUAUUGUUCCCGGACUUAACACCUUGUGUGUAGGUCCGUAAACCGAAACCCAAAGGUGAGAG